AAACCAGUUGAGGAGAUGAAGACUUCAAUGAGGUAGGUGAUCGGUUUUGAAAAUAAGACUGUCGACACUACAAAACCGGUUAAGGAGAUGAAGACCUCAAUGAGGUAAGUGACCAGUCUCGAAAAUAAGACCGCUAGCACCAUAAAAUCGGUUGAUAAAAUAAAGAUCUCAAUGAGGUGGGUGACCGAUCUUGAAAAUAGACCGCCAGCAUGACAAAACUGGUUGAGGAGAUGAAGACCUCAAUGAGGUAGGUGAACACCUCAAUAAGGUAGGUGAAAGGUCUCGAAAAUAAG
rnacentral:lncRNA from 1 species